rnacentral:rRNA from 1 species
AACGAACGCUGGCGGCAGGCCUAACACAUGCAAGUCGAACGAAGUCUUCGGACUUAGUGGCGCACGGGUGAGUAACACGUGGGAAUAUACCUUACGCUGGGGGAUAACAUCGGGAAACUGAUGCUGAUACCGCAUACGCCCUUCGGGGGAAAGAUUUAUCGGCGAAAGAUUAGCCCGCGUCCGAUUAGCUAGUUGGUGAGGUAAUGGCUCACCAAGGCUCCGAUCGGUAGCUGGUCUGAGAGGAUGACCAGCCACACUGGGACUGAGACACGGCCCAGACUCCUACGGGAGGCAGCAGUGGGGAAUAUUGGACAAUGGGCGCAAGCCUGAUCCAGCCAUGCCGCGUGAGUGAUGAAGGCCUUAGGGUUGUAAAGCUCUUUCACCCACGACGAUGAUGACGGUAGUGGGAGAAGAAGCCCCGGCUAACUUCGUG